AAAAAGUAUGAUUACACUUAACCCAUGAAAAUGCAAUCAUUUCUUGAUGAGCAACUCAUCACAAUCAAAAUAUUCUGUGUUUUCUGAUGAAGAAAGAACAAAUCAGUUGUACACAAGGAUCAAAUGAUGUAGAAACAGUUCUGAUUUACCUGAUCUACAAGUCCUUGUCCACAAAUUGCAUACAAAGAAAGAGAGAAUACACUGAUAGCAGUUAAGCUUGCCACUCUAGGAAAAGCUUCUAAUGAUGCUUGCUGCAAAAAUAUCAUAUUUUAAUUGAUUAUACAGAUACAAGGUGUCCCGGAGAGGAUGGUAAAUGUUUUCAUGGGCACCUAGAGGAUCACACCUUUACAAAAGGGAGUAGAACAACCGAGAGAAAAGUGAGAAGGAAAUACAUGAUUGAUCUGCCAUAAAGUGAUAUGAAAGAUCAGCUUUCUCUUCUAUUGAGCUCCAGAAUACGGGCCUGGUGUG